rnacentral:rRNA from 1 species
GUGAGGAAUAUUGCGCAAUGGAGGCAACUCUGACGCAGCCAUGCCGCGUGCAGGAAGAAGGAGCUACGCGUUGUAAACUGCUUUUAACCGGGAAGAAACCCCAGGACGUGUCCUGGGUUGACGGUACCGGAGGAAUAAGCACCGGCUAACUUCGUGCCAGCAGCCGCGGCAAUACGAAGGGUGCAAGCGUUAUCCGGAUACAUUGGGUUUAAAGGGUGCGUAGGCGGAGCGUUAAGUCAGUGGUGAAAUCCUGCGGCUUAACUGUAGACUUGCCAUUGAUACUGGCGAUCUUGAGUGCGCUUGAAGUGGGCGGAAUGUGCCGUGUAGCGGUGAAAUGCUUAGGUAUGGCACAGAACACCAAUUGCGAAGGCAGCUCACUAAGGCGAUACUGACGCUGAGGCACGAAAGCGUGGGGAUCGAACAGGAUUAGAUACCCCAGUAGUCC